AGUUAAAGUCAUAGUCGGUCUUGCUUUGUGAAGAAGCCGAGAGUAAAUGUUGUACACACCGCCCGUCGCUACUACCGAUUGAAUGGCUCAGUGAGGCCUUGGGACUGGCUCAGAGAGGUCGGCAACGACCACUCAGAGCCGGAAACUUGGUCAAACUUGGUCAUUUAGAGG
rnacentral:rRNA from 1 species